GAAGAACUGACUUGUGGAAGGAACGCAGCCUGAUGAUUACAUCUAAUAAUUUCAGGGCCCUUCUUGGAGACCCUGCCGGUGCAGAGAGGGAUCCUACUGCCAUUUCAAUUAUGCAGGAUCCUGGGUGGAGGAUGUGCAUGAAGAUAGGUUAUAUGCACUUUUGUCUCCCAAUCAACACCACAGCUGGGAAACUAUUCAAGUGUUUGAAUGAUUACAUAUCAGGAGAACUGAUCCAACCAUUUUGCAUUGAUACCUUCACAGAUGAUUCAGCUGCUAUGACUGGAUGGCUUUCUGGCUUCACCAUUUUGGUUAAUGAGAUUACUUCUGAAUGUGACCCUGUGUGCUGUGAGAUCCAUAGAGAAGUGCUGCCUAACUGAAUAAUAUCACCUGAACCUAACAAA